UAAGGUCACGGCGAGACGAGCCGUUUAUCAUUACGAUAGGUGUCAAGUGGAAGUGCAGUGAUGCAUGCAGCUGAGGCAUACUAACAGACCGAGAGAUUUGAAC
rnacentral:rRNA from 3 species